GGCCAGUGUCUGCAGAUCAAAUUAGAAGGCUUAGAAGUCUUUAGGGAACUAAGAUGACAUUCUGGGAGUGAUGGAACAAGAGAACGGGCUAAUGUGAUGAUACCAAGAUCAGAAAUGUUAGGACAGAUGCAAGAGGUGUUUGGAGGCAGCAGUGCCCAGCGAUAAAAAUAAAGAUCACACAUAUGAGAUUCAUAUAUAAUCUGGAAAAUUCUAGAAGAUAUACUUUGAAAAGAGAAGAAUAAACAGGCAACAAGACCAGCCAGGCAGCUCAGUGAGUCAAGGUGCCCACUGUACAAGUGUGAAGACUUUAGUUCUGGCGCCAGAACCCAAGUAAAGGUGGGAAAAGAGGAUCAACUUCACAAAGUUUCCCCCUGACCUCCACACAUGUUCUGUGUUAUGUGCACCCAUCAUAGCCACCCCCUUGAUGAUAAAUAAACAGAAGGGCAGAUGGAUGCGAAGAAACGAGACACGCUUUGGAACCAGACUCCCUGUACAUGGAGGAGAAAGAAGAGGCAGAAACAGUUACAACACGCCAGGGGUUCAAGGGAGAGUCUCAGGUCCUGUGAGGACUCAGUUCAAAGUGAUGCAGGAAUAUUCAGACAGAAAUACUUUGUCUCACCAUGAAAACUGACUACUACAAUCCAAGCAGGAAGUCAGAAGAGGAACCGGAUUGGCAGGCGCCCGGGGCAUUAAAUAAGUGGCUCUUCUCGGUGGCUUGUGAAGGAGACACCCAAGGCAUCGCCGUGACAACUAAGUAAUUCUUAUUUUUCAAAAGCCCUGUGUUGGCUUAAGCUCCGCACACAGUCUGUCUGAAUGUGGUUUGUGGCGGGCCAGGUAAUGAAUAAGCAGGCCUGCUAGAAUGACUCCACCCUGAGAAGAAACCCAAGACGUCCAUUCAUAUAAAAGGCCAAGGAAACAACUAUAAAUAAACUCACAGGUGCUGAAGAUAUUGACUGCCAGACUGGAUUGCCUUUUUCAAGUUCAAGUUCUGUGUUCUGUGGCACACUCUCUAUUUGAAUUUGGGGCUUGUAACACCCUAAUCCUUCUCUUCCCCCCCCCUCAACCCCUCCCAUUCUCUUUGUUUCUUGGUUUCUUUGUUUCUCUUUCUUUCAUGGCUAAUCUUGGUUGUCAACACACCUGGGAACAGAAAACCUCAAUUGCCUCCUCAGAUUAGUUUUCAUGUCUAAUUGAUGGAGGAGGGAAUCUAGCCAGCCCACCGUGGGCAGCACAAUCCCUAUGUAGAUGGAUCCAGUGUACAUAGAAAGGUAGCUGACCGUGAGCUUCAGAACAAGUGUUUGCCUAUGCUUCAUGGUUCCUGCUUCAGGCUCCUGCCUUGGCUUCUUUCAACCAUUGUUUGUGGCCUGGAAGCGGAAGCCAAAGCAACUUUUCUUUCCCAAGUUGCUUCCGGUCACAGUAUUUAUCAUAGUAAUAGAAACCACACUAGAACACUUGCUUUUUCAGACACAGUCUCACAGGAGCCUAGCCUGGCCUUGAACAUACUACAUAGCUGAGACUGAUCUUGAACGCUUGAUCCCUUUGCCUCCAUAUCUUAACUUCUGGGAUUACGGAUAUGCACCCAGCUUCUAAGCCACAUUCUUGCAACAAGUUCACUACCAAAUAAUGCAAAAAGUAUCAGAGGAGAAAAAUAUGAUUUUACUGCAAUGGGAAUAAGGUGUGCUCAUUAUCGUCUUCCAGGUAAGACCUCUCAACAGCUGUCCUUUUCACAAAUAGAUUCACUAUAUCAGGGAAAUGGCAAGUUUCCCAGGGAACAAAGCCAGGUUCUGGGAAUUAAAUGUCAUUGGUAAUACAA
rnacentral:lncRNA from 1 species